rnacentral:tRNA from 5 species
GCGGGCGUAGCUCAGUUGGUAGAGCGACAGCCUUCCAAGCUGUAGGUCGCGGGUUCGAGCCUCGUCGCCCGCU